rnacentral:rRNA from 1 species
GACGAACGCUGGCGGCGUGCUUAACACAUGCAAGUCGAACGGAAAGGCCCUGCUUUUGUGGUGUGCUCGAGUGGCGAACGGGUGAGUAACACGUGAGUAACCUGCCCUUGACUUUGGUAUAACUUCAGGAAACUGGGGCUAAUACCGGAUAGGAGCUCCUGCUGCAUGGUGGGGGUUGGAUAGUUUCGGCGGUUGGGGAUGGACUCGCGGCUUAUCAGCUUGUUGGUGGGGUAGUUGCUUACCAAGGCUUUGACGGGUAGCCGGCCUGAGAGGGUGACCGGGCACAUUGGGACUGAGAUACGGCCCAGACUCCUACGGGAGGCAGCAGGGGGGAAUAUUGCACAAUGGGCGGAAGCCUGAGGAAGAAACGCCGCGUGCGGGAUGACGGCCUUCGGGGUGUAAACAGCUUUCGCCUGUGACGAAGCGUGAGUGACGGUAAUGGGUAAAGAAGCACCGGCUAACUACGUG